GAAGGAAGAGGGAGGAGGGAGGAAAAAAGGAAAGUAGAAAGGAAAGGCCCCAGCUUGCUGGGGUACUCGAGUGGCGAACGGGUGAGUAACACGUGGGUGAUCUGCCCUGCACUCUGGGAUAAGCCUGGGAAACUGGGUCUAAUACCGGAUAGGACCGUGCUUUAGUGUGUGCGGUGGAAAGUUUUUCGGUGCAGGAUGAGCCCGCGGCCUAUCAGCUUGUUGGUGGGGUAAUGGCCUACCAAGGCGGCGACGGGUAGCCGGCCUGAGAGGGUGUACGGCCACAUUGGGACUGAGACACGGCCCAGACUCCUACGGGAGGCAGCAGUGGGGAAUAUUGCACAAUGGGCGCAAGCCUGAUGCAGCGACGCCGCGUGGGGGAUGACGGCCUUCGGGUUGUAAACCCCUUUCGGCAGGGACGAAGCUUUUGUGACGGUACCUGCAGAAGAAGCACCGGCUAACUACGUA
rnacentral:rRNA from 1 species